CAGAUGACCUGUCCUCCACAAUCACCCAACUUCAACCCAAUUGAGAUGGUUAGGGAUGAGUUGGACCACAGAGUGAAGGAAAAGCAGCAUCUGCCACACUCUGCCCUGGGGAUCAUCGUAGAGGAGUACUUUGGUGACAUGAAGGACCCCGUGGGGAUCAGAGAUGCCUUCUUGGAGCUUAUGGGAGAUCUACUGAUUGUGGUCCCAGGGGGUGUAGAGUAACCCUAAUGGAGAGAGUGUGUUUGAUUAGCCAACACUCACUACAGAUCCAGGCCAACCUCGGGCUGGGCAGUGUCUCAGAGAAGAAGAGUGCCCAGUUCUGGAGAGAAGACUUCCCUAAAGGACUGCAGACUGCUGGACACAAAGACUCACAGAGUGACCAGUAGAACUGAAUGUUCACUAUGUCAAAUGUUGUUCUAGGAGUGUCCAUGUUGCCCUCCACUCCAGUGUGCUAUUAGGUUACAGUAUAUGAGGCUUUCUUUUCCUUAUUGUGUGUCAUUUUGGCCAUUUUAAUAUUCCAGAUUUUCUUUAAUGUUUUUUUUUGUUUUUUAAAUAUUUUAUUUAGCAAUUGUUUAACAUUUAUGUAGUUUAUUUUUAUCUUGCUGUGUUCAUAUGUCCAUUAAAGCCAUAAAAUAAUUACGUGUGACUGAUUAGACGAUUGUCCUUCUGCUUAGUAAUAAAACAUUGUAAUCAGACA